AGGAGGACUUUGAAUAAAGAAUACCAAAAAUGGUCAUGCUAGCGUCACAUUUCCUCUUUAAUUUUCAAGAGGAAGUGUGAGGAACGAAAACGGAAUUACGAAUGUGUCUAGCCUGAAGGAUCGCCUGCAGGACCCAGAAGGAUAUACAACAAUGAGCUGAAUGCAAGAACAACCUCCCGAUAGCUUUCUUAUUUAUGGAAUCAUGUCUUCCCGGUCAACAAUUCCCUCUGCCUACCCACCUCAACUCUCUCCGACCGCCCAGCUCCCCCAGUGCCCACCCCGCAGCAGGAAAUUUCCGUGGUGAGGGCGUCUUUGCAGCAGCUUGCCGGGUGUUCUUUACCGGGUGGAAAAUCCGUCGCUCCUAAUACCCGUCUCCAGCCUCUGCCUCGCCGAGUGGGAGCUACUCUGAUUGUGCGCACGUCAGCUUGUCGGUGCGGGUGGGGGAGCACGGAACUAGACGCCCGAGUUGAGCUGUUUAUCUUGUGAACUUUUCUUGUUUUCAUUGUUAUGCUUAACGCUGUUUUACUUAUAUGUACUGUGGAAGUUGUCUUGUCGAAGAAGCUAGUUUUACUGGUUGUUGAAUGGAUGUUUUAAUAGCUUUAAAUAAUAGUUUCGGAAAGAAUACGUCCAUUUUUGUUAUGUGUUGAAAAGGAUUGUAAACUAGAUGUAAUGAAUAUCGACGUGUCAUUGUGAAGUGAGAGUGUGUGUGUGUGUGUGUGUGUGUGUGUGUGUGUGUGUG